rnacentral:rRNA from 1 species
CAGCAGCCGCGGUAAUACGGAGGGAGCUAGCGUUGUUCGGAAUUACUGGGCGUAAAGCGCGCGUAGGUGGUUUGUUAAGUUGGAUGUGAAAUCCCCGGGCUCAACCUGGGAACUGCAUCCAAAACUGGCAGGCUAGAGUAGGGCAGAGGGUGGUGGAAUUUCCUGUGUAGCGGUGAAAUGCGUAGAUAUAGGAAGGAACACCAGUGGCGAAGGCGACCACCUGGGCUCAUACUGACACUGAGGUGCGAAAGCGUGGGGAGCAAACAGGAUUAGAGACCCCAGUAGUCCCUGUCUCUUAUAC